rnacentral:misc_RNA from 1 species
GAUGAAGAACGCAGCGAAAUGCGAUAAGUAAUGUGAAUUGCAGAAUUCAGUGAAUCAUCGAAUCUUUGAACGCACAUUGCGCCCGCCAGUAUUCUGGCGGGCAUGCCUGUCUGAGCGUCAUUUCAACCCUCAUGCCCCUAGGGCGUGGUGUUGGGGAUCGGCCAAAGCCCGCGAGGGACGGCCGGCCCCUAAAUCUAGUGGCGGACCCGUCGUGGCCUCCUCUGCGAAGUAGUGAUAUUCCGCAUCGGAGAGCGAUGAGCCCCUGCCGUUAAACCCCCAACUUUCCAAGGUUGACCUCAGAUCAGGUAGGAAUACCCGCUGAACUUAAGCAUAUCAUAAGAGGAGGA